rnacentral:lncRNA from 1 species
AAACAAACACGACGGAGACAUGGCGACUCUGUGCUGUCAAGCAGACGGUAUCGUACUUUAGGCAUUUAAAAUAUGUUUUCAUAAGAUUUGUUUAGUGAAAAUACAAGGGUCCAUAUUGUGGGAACCAUUUACGUAGACUGACGAGAUGUUUGGAGGCAAAAAGAUCAAAAAGUGUUAUUAAAAGUCACUAUGCUGUCAUAAUUAUAUUCUGCUGUCAUCUAAGUAGUGACACUGACAGCACAGGCCGACACAAUGACAUCCUGUAGUCACAGCACACAACACUAAGGCCUCCCAAGUGCGUUGGUACCGAGGACAACGGUUGUCUGUUUGUGGGGAGAACAGCCAUUUGUCAAGCAGAAGAAAAGAAUCAGUUCUCAGUUGAACAAGGCAAAUCGUCUUUACUUCGGAUGCAAGACUGAGGACCAAGACAUCCUUGAGGUCCACAUACAUGUUGUGUUACAUGUGUAACAGCUUUCACAGAGGCUGAAUGACAGGAGAGCAUCAAUGGCGUGUGCAGUGGCCAUGGUGUGGAGAGAGCCUGGCAACCACACAAUAACUGUUACUUCUGCCUGCUACCUCCUCUUUCCGUCGGGAUGAAGAGACAAAAGAAGUGGAGAGUAGUCUACCCCAGCAUCCGUCUGCGUUGAGACCAGCUUCACAUGGUUUCACCUUUGACCUCUAGAAGCAUGGGAAAAACCCAGCCACUUACCGCCUAUUAUCUAUUGUCUACCUGACUGGUAUUAUCGCUGUGAAGUCAGUUCCACUACCAAUGGCAGCUGUCAGUCCAUGCUCCCUGUUACUAUUCACUGUCAGACCUGUCUUGCCUGUCAAACGCAAAGGUGGAACCUCGGAAACUGACUGAAGGUUCAAACUGAUUGUUGUGUCAACAAGUCUGUUUACAUUCUGACGGCCAUCAUCCUCUUGUCAACAUGAGCAGCUGCACUAACAGCUAACAAUCAACUCUUUGCUGUUUGUGUGUUGUUAUGUAUUUGUGUAGAGAGCUGUGAGCCUGCCUUCAUGUUGGGGUAGGGCGAUAUAUAAACAUUUGUAUUAUUAUAUUUGCUGAGUAAACUGCAGGUGAGACACGCAGACUUCUGAUUGUCCAUGGUGCCAUCUAGUUAUUGGCAUCAGAAGGUCUUUGUGUAAGGACUGUGUGUUAGGAAACAAAAAUCUGUAAUUAUCUUUCACCUCACAUUCCAUAGUCAAUCUCGACUAAUGUUUAAGUUGAAACCUAAAGCAAACCUGUUGUGUGAAUCUUAAUUUAGUAAAAAUGUUUUACUGAUAAUGGUACGUGUGUGUAACUGUGUGUGAUUUGCAUCAAUUUAUGCUUUCACUUUCUUCUGUAUUUAAGGUUAUUUUGCAAUUUAAGCCUGUAUUGCACAAAUUAUAAAGAAAAAUAAAUAUUAUUUUUAAUGUAAGUGGUUUAGUGACUAAGGUCAGUGUAGUGCCAUAACAGACACAGUCAGCCCCCACAUUGAGAAUGAUCAACAAGAAUGUGUUCCGUCGACAGCUCGUACACACUUGUGCAAGGUGAAAAGCUCAAAACUCAAAUAAAAAAGAAAGAACAAUUUGAUUGAAGAUAGAUAUGUUUACUUCAAGAUUAUUUCAUCCAGCAGCAGAAGCAGACUAAAAGAUGGAGCAAGAGUGAAGUGAACACACAGACAUAACAGAGAGCUUGUGUGUAAGGACAUCGUGGACAAUGUUUCAAGCUGCACGUGACACGAUGACAAGAGUCAUCAUAGGGCUACAGUAGACACAGUGAGC